CACUAUGCUUAGCCUUAAACAUUGGUAAUAUUCUACACCCAUUACCCGCCCGGGUACUACGAGCAUCAGCUUGAAACUCAAAGGACUUGGCGGUGCUUUAGAUCCACCUAGAGGAGCCUGUCCUAUAACCGAUAACCCCCGUUAAACCUCACCUUUUCUUGUUUAACCCGCCUAUAUACCACCGUCGCCAGCUUACCCUGUGAAGGUCCUGUAGUGAGCAAAAUUGGCACAGCCCAGAACGUCAGGUCGAGGUGUAGCGUAUGAAAAGGGAAGAGAUGGGCUACAUUCUCUAAUAUAGAGAAUACGGACGAUACUUUGAAACACGUAUACUGAAGGAGGAUUUAGCAGUAAGCAAAAAACAGAGCGUUUUGCUGAAGCCGGCCCUGAAGCGCGCACACACCGCCCGUCACUCUCUCCAAGCGUAUGAAAGCAUAUUAAUAAAACAUUACAGUUGCGAAGGGGAGGCAAGUCGUAA
rnacentral:rRNA from 1 species